AGCAGAGGGGACGGGGACCGGGCGGACGCAGGAGCUUCCACCGACAGCCGCAGCCAAAGCAGCUGACUUGGAAUGACCUGGCUGGAAAUCACAAGGGUCAAACAUGCUCAGGACUUGCACACCUUGACAGGGUUGAUAAAUGCCAGACCAUUUUGAAGCAUCAUGAGCCAGCAGACACGGGGGCAGAGGAGGAUCCCUCAGGACUGAAAAAUUUCAUCUUCUGCUCAAGCCAAAGGUUCCCUCCCGUUCACCUCCCAUGAAGACAGAUGUAGUUAUGGCUCCUAAUGCUCUCCCGGUGGGUUAGACAGGAGCUUCCCCGUGAAUAAAAAACAAGUUAGGAAAGUUGUUAACUUGGGCUCCAGCUUCAGAGUGACUGCAGUGGGAUGAGUCAGGCAAUGCAGCUGCAGGAUAACGAAGGUGAAUGUGUAUUUUAACGAGCCCAUUUCAGAGCAGAUGUUCUAACGGCCUUCACAGCGGAGGGCAGUUUUCUGCUUGGAGGGUCUGUCUGCUCCCUUGAUGGCCUGGUGGCACCAGAGACGCUUUGCAUCGAGCCUUGCUUUCCCCCCGCCAGGCAGCCAGGGCUGCCCACGCCGCAGCUGGGGCAGAGAGGGACCUGCGGCCCCUGCCCGGGGGGUCUUCGCUCUCCAUCCAGCUCAGGGCUGCCCAGAGACCGUGGUGGCUGCUGACUUUGCACAGUGAGGACAGGUAUAGCUCUAGCUGAAGCUGCUCUGCUCACAGGUCACAUCUGCACGUGUGGAGGCCCCCUUGCUAUAAAAGGCACAUUUCUGACCCCCAUGAAGCCCUCCUGCCUCCCCAAGACCUUGUGGCUGGUUGAACUGCGUUCCCAAACUUUAUUUGCUUGAGUAUAUAUAGUAGCGAAAGCUGCAGUUUCGGGGUGUAUGACCGCUAACGGCGGGACAGCUGGGUCUUUCCCUUCUGUCUGUGGCUGGAUACACCCAGCAGCUCCCAGCUCUGCCCCCACUGCGGGGACCCCAGCGCACCCUGACGUGGUUUCUGUGCUCCUGGUGACACAUGUACCCAGAACAAAACCAGCAUAACUGGGAUACACACCUCAGGUCUAGGAAAAUGAUAAGGCAAUGGAGACUCGCUCCCUGUGUUGCAAUGGUCUCUUAAUGCAUUUACUUGUAAUUCAAACUGGGAUUUGUUUUUAUAGGGAUAGAAAUGUAAGGAACAACCGGUGCUCUGGGACCACAGAGGAGAAAACACAAAUGACAUUUUCCUCUAUUAGGACACCACACAGAUGAAGUAAAGCUAAGAGCCUUCACAGGACUUUGCUGCAGACCGCAGAGGUCUCUCUGAAAACAAGGUGUUUUUCACAUGAGCUGGUGAGGAUUCAGGUCUUCCAUCCUCUUCCAUUCCAUAAUUCACAUUCAAGCAAACGCUCUCUAAGAUACAGACUGUUGCUUAGCAAAGGUUACAAUGUCUUCAGCUGCUGUUAGUGCUGUUACUCUAUGAGAUAAUGAGAGUCUGAUGUCCACACUCAAUUGAUCACUAAAUGUGUUCCUAGAAUCUGUACACUAUUUAUUUCAUCAUCAUCAUCACUGUUAGCAGCAGCAGCAUGUUACCUAGUGAUUCUGGACUGGGUCCCUCCGUGAUCUGCAACUCUCAGGCUUACCCUUGGGACUGAAGGGAUUGCACCUGCACCCGCUAAUCCUAUUUCAUUUGCUCACAAGGCCUCAGGUUUGAGAGAGGGAGAGACAGCUAAGGGAGAUCACCCAAACCCUCGCACCGGGUGGAGUGCAGCUGGAACGAAUUGCACGUGCUGAAGGAUGGGUGAUGGAUGGCAAACCACCAAGUUUGUAGAGGGCUUUCUGCCUUAAUGACUUGUGACUGAAUAAAGCUGUGCUGGAG